rnacentral:rRNA from 1 species
GAUUUUUAUAUAAAUUUUAUUUUAUAAAUAUAGGAUAAAUUGAUUUUUAAAUAUUAUUUAUAUUAUAUUGGGGUAAUAAUAAAAUUUAUAGAAUUUUUAUUUUUUAUAAACAAUUUUGAUUGAUUGAUUGAUCCAUUAUUAAUGAUUAUAAGUUUAAGUUACCUUAGGGAUAACAGCGUAAUGAUUUUUGAGAGUUCUUAUCGA